rnacentral:rRNA from 1 species
UAGGGAAUUUUUCACAAUGGACGAAAGUCUGAUGAGGCAAUGCCGCGUGAGUGAUGACGGUCUUCGGAUUGUAAAGCUCUGUUAUAAGGGAAGAAAUGGUAGGAUAGGAAAUGAUCUUACUUUGACGGUACCUUAUCAGAAAGCCACGGCUAACUAUGUG